rnacentral:rRNA from 1 species
CCAGACUCCUACGGGAGGCAGCAGUGGGGAAUAUUGCACAAUGGGCGCAAGCCUGAUGCAGCCAUGCCGCGUGUAUGAAGAAGGCCUUCGGGUUGUAAAGUACUUUCAGUCGGGAGGAAGGUGUCAAGGUUAAUAACCUUGGCAAUUGACGUUACCGACAGAAGAAGCACCGGCUAACUCCGUGCCAGCAGCCGCGGUAAUACGGAGGGUGCAAGCGUUAAUCGGAAUUACUGGGCGUAAAGCGCACGCAGGCGGUCUGUCAAGUCGGAUGUGAAAUCCCCGGGCUCAACCUGGGAACUGCAUUCGAAACUGGCAGGCUGGAGUCUUGUAGAGGGGGGUAGAAUUCCAGGUGUAGCGGUGAAAUGCGUAGAGAUCUGGAGGAAUACCGGUGGCGAAGGCGGCCCCCUGGACAAAGACUGACGCUCAGGGGCGAAAGCGUGGGGAGCAAACAGGAUUAGAUACCCCAGUAGAU